GACGAACGCUGGCGGCGUGCUUAACACAUGCUAGUCGAACGGAAAGGCCCUGCUUUUGUGGGGUGCUCGAGUGGCGAACGGGUGCGUAACACGUGAGUAACCUGCCCUUGACGUUGGGAUAACUUCAGGAAACUGGGGCUAAUACCGGAUAGGAGAUCCUGCUGCAUGGUGGGGGUUGGAACGUUUCGGCGGUUGGGGAUGGACUCGCGGCUUAUCAGCUUGUUGGUGGGGUAGUGGCUUACCAAGGCUUUGCCGGGUAGCCUGCCUGAGAGGGUGACCGGUCACAUUCGUACUGAGGUACGCCCCAGUCCCGAACGGGAGGCAGCAGUGGGGAAUAGUGCACAGUGGCCGGAAGCCGGAUCUCGCAACGUCGCGUGCCGGAUGACGGGCUGCUGUUUGUAUACUGCUUUCGCCUGUUACGCCGCGUGAGCGACGGUAACGGGUCAAUAAGCACCGGCUCCCUACGUG
rnacentral:rRNA from 1 species